ensembl:lncRNA
UCCGAGUGGACUCACAGCGGAGACAAUGCAGGAUGUCCGCAUACAGCUGCCGGCUGUGCUGCGACCCGAGGUGAGCAUCACGUGCUUUCUUAUAGGGGGGAUUUUUCACAUUUAGAAUUAGCUACGUUAUGUUGUAGAUUGUUUUACGCUUUAAUUCAAUAAAGCUCUUCCUCAACGGGAGCAGCAGCUUGUAACCAGAACUGCGUCGUGCGCCCGGUGAGAGCUCUGGUUCUGUCUGGUGGGCCGUGGAGCUCACACAGUGCGCAGAGAGAUUCGUUCCCUUGCAACCCACUGCUGUGCCCUCUGCAGCAGUGUUACUUAUGGGAAUGGACAGCUGUUCGCUUACAAAUAGUUAUGUUCCCGAGUGCCGGUGAAUACACUGAUUUAUGAACGUGCAGUCAAGACUUUUCUGAGAUCCUCUAAUGGCAGAAGGCUUCUUCUACCAGGUGAUCUCUUCUAGGCUGCGGAUGAUAAACUCAUCAAUAAGAUGCUAAAAUGUAGCAGUUGGGCUAACUCAACUUUUGUGUGUUUGUUCACUGAGAGAAUAAAGUUUUAUCACAAAUCAUGUCAACAAUAUGAUUUUCAAAUUUGCAUUAAAUGUUAAAGCAUCUCUGCUUAUGGCAAACUUAUUUUAAUUUAGGCGAAUUAUGCAAAUAUUUAGUUUGUUUCCAGCUUUGAAUAGUUCCAGAAUUUCGCAAUGCUACCUGACUGUAAAUGAGGAACCAGGAUUGUUUAAAAGGCCGUCCAUUGUCUCUAAUGGACUCAAUGUUCUGCUGAACCACUCAAGUUUUCCAGAGCAGAUUGUUUUGAAUGACACCUUCUGGAUGGGGUUCAGAUGUUCAAUUAUGACUUUUCGGAUUAAUUUAUUCCAUGUGGCUUUUAGCCUGUCAGUGUUUUGGGUUUCAAAUGAGUUUCUUCACUGGGGAUUGAAGUUUGUCUGUUCUUCUCUCUCAGGGAUUGUGGACCUGAGGCCGGCUCGGUUUCCUCCCCGCACUGGUCUUCUGACUGAUUGCUGUCAUGUUCCUGCUGCAUGAAGGCUUGCAUCCAUGUACCGUACCAGGUAUUCAGGCACUCAGGAGUCAGCUGAGGUGGUUUGGGCAGCUAACAAAGAUUCCUGAUGGGCGCGGCUCUCCAGGCAGGACAUGCUGAAGGGUUCACAUCUCCCACUGUGAUGGCAGACUGAGUCUCACAAGCUUGUGUGGUCUCUGCUGCUCCCUGCAGGUCUCCAGUAGGCGCUGACUAGAGGUCUAAAGUCUGGGAAUAUUGUCUGAGUUAAAGAUGGGUGAUUUGGCUGAAAUUCCAAACUUUUUCCAGAAUUGUGGAAGCUUCCUGGAGUCGUGGCGUGAACAGUACCAGCAGCCUCUUGCAGUUGAUGGUGACGUGACAUCGAAGCUGCCACCACUUUGUUGCGUAGAGGUCAUUUGAAGUCAGUCUAUUAAUAAAUGCAAAUUAAAGACUCAGAACUCUUGUCUCUGUUCUAUAUGAAAUGUGUUAUUUCCCACGUAUUAAAUCACUCGAGAGCUUUCGGCACUGUCGUUAAGUGUUUUUCUUUCUUUUCUUAAGCAUCUGAAAAGUGGUGCCUUAAAGCCAACCAACGUUUCAAACGUGUUGGGUAAAGGUCAUGAGCAGCUGCUGUAGUGGCGCAGUGCCUCCUUUAGUGGGCAGUGUACCGAUUCUUGCAGGAGGACCACAGCAUGUCUGCAAUAAAGAGGAC